AACGCCUGAUGAUCUGAGGUGGAACAGUUUCAUCCCCAACCCCUCUGUGACCACCAGCCAUGGAAAAACCGUCUUCCACGAAACUGGUCCCUGGUGCCAAAAAGGUUGGGGACCACUGAUGUAUUGAAAUAUUUUUAGAGAAAUGGAAGAGAAAAAGGAGACAGCUGGUUUUUUUUGGUUUCUGCUUCUACAUCCAAUUUUUGUGAUAUGUUGUUGUAGUUUUAGUGUAUGAAGAGUCUGGCCUCACACAGAUACAGAUGAAAAGUCUUUUAAGAAGGUUGAGAAGCACUGAUCUGGAGGAAGGUGAUUCGGUAAAAGGGGUGAGAGAACAGCAGCCUGGAAGGACUGACUGCAGAAGCAAAUCACGAGGAAACAGUGGUGACAAUGACUUUUCUCCCUUUCUUCAUGG